ensembl:ncRNA T10H9.10 ncRNA
GAAGACGUGCCUCCAUCUUCAUACGCACACACACAUACUCGCCGACGUCUUCUUUGCCCAUAUAAUCCUUGUGCUACUGCUUUUGCGGUCGCGGCUCCGUGAGACCAAAAGCACCCGCUGCACUGCUCUUUUUUCUUUUCU